GUAGGGGGCAAGCGUUGUCCGGAAUGAUUGGGCGUAAAGGGCGCGUAGGCGGCCUGAUAAGUUUGAAGUGAAAGUCCUUCUNNUAAGGAGGGAACUGCUUUGAAAACUGUUGGGCUUGAGUGCAGGAGAGGGAAGUGGAAUUCCAUGUGUAGCGGUGAAAUGCGUAGAGAUAUGGAGGAACACCAGUGGCGAAGGCGGCUUCCUGGUCUGUAACUGACACUGAGGCGCGAAAGCGUGGGGAGCAAACAGGAUUAGAUACCCUGGUAGUCCACGCCGUAAACGAUGAGUGCUAAGUGUUGGGGGUCGAACCUCAGUGCUGAAGUUAACGCAUUAAGCACUCCGCCUGGGGAGUACGGUCGCAAGACUGAAACUCAAAGG
rnacentral:rRNA from 1 species